UACGUAGGGGGCAAGCGUUGUCCGGAAUCAUUGGGCGUAAAGAGCGUGUAGGCGGCUCGAUAAGUCUGCUGUGAAAGUCCAGGGCUCAACCCUGGAAGGCCGGUGGAAACUGUCGGGCUAGAGUCCGGAAGAGGCGAGUGGAAUUCCCGGUGUAGCGGUGAAAUGCGCAGAUAUCGGGAGGAACACCAAUGGCGAAGGCAGCUCGCUGGGACGUGACUGACGCUGAGGCGCGAAAGCGUGGGGAGCGAACAGG
rnacentral:rRNA from 1 species